rnacentral:snoRNA from 1 species
CCAAGCAUUAGGAGGACAUUGCCAAUGACCCACUGAGCUGUCCAGAAGGGGCAGAGUGAAAACCUACUUUUGGGUGAAGGGCAGAAGGUUCUGUCUUGCCUCGAUGGGUGGUAUGACAAGA